CCGUUGCUAUGGUAAAUUUUGUCAUAGUAACCGAUGCUAUGGUAAUCGUUGCCAUAGUUACCGUUGCUAUGGUUAUCAUUGUCAUAGUAACCGUUGCUAUGGUAACCGUUGUUAUAGUAACCAUUGCCAAAGUGGUCACCAUAGCAACGAAAAGCGACAGCAAU